GAAUGUUAUAGAGACAUUUGGAGGUUCCUAAAACGUUGGCUAUUUAAGAUUCUGGGAUCACCUGUCCAUAUUAGGAUAUAUAUUAAUUUUAAUAAUUGUGUCGUCAUGGGAGUCCCCCAUUUUAUACAAAUUAUCUGCUAGGACAUAUUGCUCUUACCUGUAGAAAACACCCCUGAGGAAGUCUGUAUAGAUGAAACGCGUUGGUUAAAGGUCUUAGACAUAGUGGGU